UACAAUAUUUAUUCUAUUUAAAGCCCCCCUUCUAAUUAACGCCCCCUACCGAAAAUCAUGCGUUCAGAACUUUUGACUUCUAAUAAACGCCCCCAUUUUGUAGUUAGAAAAAUAAAAUUGAAAGUUACCCAUUACAAUAUUGCUAAGACAUUGACCCGGUCACUCAGAAACAUGAAACGAAAAAUCAAUAAUGCCCAUGUUUUAAU
rnacentral:lncRNA from 1 species